ACUGCUUCUAUGUCUAAGUCAAAAUAAAUCAAUUGUGUAAUUUCCCAGUUUAGCAAUUGUUCAUGGUAAUUUCGUUCAUGCCUAUAGCCUCUCAUCACACAAUUGAAAUAGCAUACCGAAAUAUUUUGUAGCAAGCACGGAUUCAAAAGGCACUAUUCAAUAUUAACAUAGAGAAAAAGCUUCAUAAUACAAAAUACAAGGCCUUGGAUUGUUUGAGUAUUGCUCAAACACACACAUGAGAAUUCCAAAUAAAAUUUAGCGAAGGAGAAAAGCUGGAACCAGAAAUCCAUCCAAAAAUAUUCAAGG
rnacentral:lncRNA from 1 species